rnacentral:rRNA from 1 species
UACGUAGGGGGCAAGCGUUGUCCGGAAUCAUUGGGCGUAAAGAGCGUGUAGGCGGCCUUUUAAGUCCUGCGUGAAAUCCUGCGGCUCAACCGCAGACGGUCGUGGGAAACUGGAAGGCUAGAGUGCGGGAGAGGAGAGUGGAAUUCCCGGUGUAGCGGUGAAAUGCGCAGAUAUCGGGAAGAACACCCGUGGCGAAGGCGGGUCUCUGGGCCGAUACUGACGCUGAGGAGCGAAAGCGUGGGGAGCGAACAGG